CCUUGAUGGAUAAGUCCAAUGACUCAAUAGCAGCGCGAAAUUGAGUUUCUUGUCUGGUGGAUCUGAUCUAUAAUUAAGGAAAGUACACACCGAAAGGUGAUCCCCUUUGUACUUCAAAAAUACUCGAUCCAGAGAUUAAAAAAAAAAUUAAAUUUUCUGCUAGAUCUCGUAUUUUUCUAGGAUUGUAGUUCAAUUUGACAGAGCAUCUCCUUGUCAAGGCGAUAGCUACGGGUUCCAGCCCAGUCAGUCACGAUGGAAAUACUUAGUCAACUUUCUUUACGAUAUGUCAAUGCCCAUAUGAUUUUAGCUUCAACUGAGCAGCAACUUAGAUUUUUCUAGCACUAGGUUCGACCUUCGAAAGACCCUGCAAUAGAAUCCCAAAAUUUUCCUCCACAAGUUCAAAUCCGAAGACAAAAUCGAUCUUAGCUCCACAAUUUAAAAACCAAUUGAAUUUCAAAUAGCAAAACCAAAUAAAUCCGGGCAUCUACCUUGAAAACCUUGAAUGUUAUCGAGUGCAUAUAUGGACUUGCAAACUCUGUGAAUCGUUCCUGGAGUUUCAACUGCAUAUUUCAAAGUACAUGAAUUAUUCAUGGAGUUUGAACUCAUAAAUAUUCAAACUCCACUAAUCGUUCUUAGAGUUCUUCCGUGUUUUAAGUAAGGGUAUUUUCA
rnacentral:lncRNA from 1 species